rnacentral:rRNA from 1 species
AGUGGACGCUGGCGGUAGGCCUAACACAUGCAAGUCGAACGGCAGCACAGUAAGAGCUUGCUCUUACGGGUGGCGAGUGGCGGACGGGUGAGGAAUACAUCGGAAUCUACUUUUUCGUGGGGGAUAACGUAGGGAAACUUACGCUAAUACCGCAUACGACCUACGGGUGAAAGCAGGGGAUCUUCGGACCUUGCGCGAUUGAAUGAGCCGAUGUCGGAUUAGCUAGUUGGCGGGGUAAAGGCCCACCAAGGCGACGAUCCGUAGCUGGUCUGAGAGGAUGAUCAGCCACACUGGAACUGAGACACGGCCCAGACUCCUACGGGAGGCAGCAGUGGGGAAUAUUGGACAAUGGGCGCAAGCCUGAUCCAGCCCUACCGCGUGGGUGAAGAAGGCCUUCGGGUUGUAAAGCCCUUUUGUUGGGAAAGAAAAGCAGCAGGUUAAUACCCCGCUGUUCUGACGGUACCCAACGAAUAAGCACCGGCUAACUCCGUG